UACGAAGGGGGCUAGCGUUGCUCGGAAUUACUGGGCGUAAAGGGAGCGUAGGCGGACUGUUAAGUUAGAGGUGAAAGCCCAGGGCUCAACCUUGGAAUUGCCUUUGAUACUGGCAGUCUUGAGUACGGAAGAGGUAUGUGGAACUCCGAGUGUAGAGGUGAAAUUCGUAGAUAUUCGGAAGAACACCAGUGGCGAAGGCGACAUACUGGUCCGUUACUGACGCUGAGGCUCGAAAGCGUGGGGAGCAAACAGGG
rnacentral:rRNA from 1 species